rnacentral:misc_RNA from 1 species
CCGAGUUUACAACUCCCAAACCCCUGUGAACAUACCACUUGUUGCCUCGGCGGAUCAGCCCGCUCCCGGUAAAACGGGACGGCCCGCCAGAGGACCCCUAAAUUCUGUUUCUAUAUGUAACUUCUGAGUAAAACCAUAAAUAAAUCA